GUCCGCCAGAGAAUUACAAGCAGUUCGCUUCAAACCCAAAGGAUUUGACGGUGUCCCACAUCAACCUAGAGGAGCCUGUCCUAUAAUCGAUACCCCACGUUUUACCUCACCCCCUCUUGCAACAGCCUAUAUACCGCCGUCUACAGCUGGCCUGAUGACAGUUUUAGCCAGCAACAUAGCACACACAAAUACGUCAGGUCAAGGUGUAGCUUAUGGGGGGGUUAGAGAUGGGCUACAUUUCCAAAAACAGGAAUUACCAAACACAACAUGAAAAUUAGCCCAAAGGCGGAUUUAGCAGUAAGACCGGACAAGAUAUGCCAGCCUGAA
rnacentral:rRNA from 1 species